UGCAGUCGAACGGUUGUAGCAGUACAGCAGUGGCAGACGGGUGAGUAACACGUGGGAACCUACCUAGGGGUACGGAAUAACUCAGGGAAACUUGAGCUAAUACCGUAUACGACCUUCGGGUGAAAGAUUUAUCGCCCCUAGAUGGGCCCGCGUUGGAUUAGCUAGUUGGUGGGGUAAAAGCCUACCAAGGCGACGAUCCAUAGCUGGUCUGAGAGGAUGAUCAGCCACACUGGGACUGAGACACGGCCCAAACUCCUACGGGAGGCAGCAGUAGGGAAUCUUGGACAAUGGGCGAAAGCCUGAUCCAGCCAUGCCGCGUGAGUGAUGAAGGCCUUAGGGUUGUAAAGCUCUUUCGCCAGGGAAGAUAAUGACGGUACCUGGAUAAGAAGCCCCGGCAAACUUCGUGCCAGCAGCCGCGGUAAUACGAAGGGGGCUAGCGUUGUUCGGAAUUACUGGGCGUAAAGCGCACGUAGGCGGUUUUCCAAGUUGGAGGUGAAAUCCCUGGGCUCAACCCGGGAACUGCCUCCAAAACUGGAUGACUCGAGUCCGAGAGAGGUGAGUGGAAUUUCCAGUGUAGAGGUGAAAUUCGUAGAUAUUGGAAAGAACACCAGUGGCGAAGGCGGCUCACUGGCUCGGUACUGACGCUGAGG
rnacentral:rRNA from 1 species